CGCAUAGUGUUCUGGAUCUUUCUUUUCUCCGUGAACUUGAGCCGAGAGCAGACGUCCAUUACUGCUCCGGGAGAUUUAGUGCUUCUUAAGUGAGUACAAGAGAUGUAAAAGUACGUAAAACAUUUGUAUAUCAUUAUGCAUGAGUGAGAUAAAAAAACCACGUACUUGUGUAACCCGUAGAAACAUUUUGAUUCAUCUUCUAAACGCCUGUUAAUGACGCGAUUUUAGCGUUAGCAUAAUAUUAACAUAAAAUGUGUCGUGUAUACGUUUAUUUCUAUCAGACGAUUGAGAGAAAAGCGGAGCACGGUUGAGAGUGCAUCUUCAACCAGUUACCAUCAGGAUUUUCCUUCCUUAUAUGUACAUUAGACUGAGUUUCCUUGGCCGGGUUUUUUUUUUUCUCUUCUUCUUGGGUUUGUUCUGUGUGAUGUCUUGCUGAUGUUCAGCCACAGAAUACAGUCCGCUUAUCUGCGAAUCGAGUGAAGUGUGAACCCUUCCUGGAGUGUGAAUCGUCUCAACUGUGUGUAACGGAAAAGUUGGACUGGCGAGCCGCCCGUUAAUCGGACCCUUUGAACAAUCCUGUUGAAAGAACAUCAAGGUUGAACAUACUCGUCUUUGAAUGACUGAUUCUACAUUUAUUCUGUUUAAUUUGUAAAGGUUGCUUAUUUUAUUUUUAUUUUUGUUUUGCUCAUUGUUAAAAUACAAAUUUCCUUCAAUUCUUACCUUAAA